rnacentral:rRNA from 1 species
GGCUCAGGACGAACGCGGGCGGCGUGCUUAACACAUGCAAGUCGAGCGGGAACCCAGGGAGGGGUGACCCUCCUUGGGGGAGAGCGGCGAACGGGUGAGUAUCACGUGGGCAACCUGCCCCAGACACUGGGAUAACUCCGGGAAACCGGGGCUAAUACCGGAUACUUCGAUCGGUCCACAUGGUCCGAUCGAGAAAGCUCCGACGGUCUGGGAUGGGCCCGCGGCCUAUCAGCUUGUUGGCGGGGUAACGGCCCACCAAGGCGACGACGGGUAGCUGGUCUGAGAGGACGGCCAGCCACACUGGGACUGAGACACGGCCCAGACUCCUACGGGAGGCAGCAGUGGGGAAUCUUGCGCCAAUGCGCGAAAGCGUGACGCAGCGACGCCGCGUGGGGGAUGAAGGCCCUCGGGUUGUAAACCCCUUUCGCCAGGGACGAAGCGAAAGUGACGGUACCUGGAGAAGAAGUCCCGGCUAACUACGUGCCAGCAGCCGCGGUAACACGUAGGGGACGAGCGUUGUCCGUAUUCAUUGGGCGUAAAGCGCGCGUAGGCGGUCGUGCAAGUCGGUUGUGAAAUCCCGGGGCUCAACCCCGGGACUGCGUCCGAUACUGCACGACUGGAGGCAGGUAGGGGAGAUCGGAAUUCCUGGUGUAGCGGUGAAAUGCGCAGAUAUCAGGAGGAACACCGGUGGCGAAGGCGGAUCUCUGGGCCUUGCCUGACGCUGAGGCGCGAAAGCUAGGGGAGCGAACAGGAUUAGAUACCCUGGUAGUCCUAGCCGUAAACGUUGGGUGCUAGGUGUGGGCGGACAUCGACCCCGUCCGUGCCGAAGCUAACGCAUUAAGCACCCCGCCUGGGGAGUACGGCCGCAAGGCUAAAACU